CGUGUCUAUAGAAGGGUGAAGGAGAGAGUCCAGGGAAGGGUAAAUCAAGAAACCAGAAGAUCUGAGGAGGCAGAUUGGGAUCUGGCAGGAGAGGGUUCUGCUGCAUGUUUUGGUCAUGACUUAGGGAAGGCACAGUCACCGAGUGAUGGAUCUGCACCAAGACUUGCCUCGGUCUUUUCUGCAUAAGAACGUGCGGAAGAAUGAUGGUUGGUGCAAGGGGAAGCCAUGGAAAGCCAUGAGUGCCUGUUCAGAAAUCCAGUGGGAAAGAUGAUUCAUGCCAUGUAGUGACACAAGGGCACAAGUGCUGCACUUCAGUCGCUCCACUGAAUUCUAUGGGAUUUUCUGUCUGCUGGAUCACUGCUCAUGUCAGGAAGACAGCGAUAGAGAAGAUGACUCUUACUAAAGCUUCAGGUAGAUGCUGUGCAUCAGACUGGUGAGCAAGAUUAAAUCUCUGAAGGCUCUGGCUGUCUCAAUCUCCAUUGAAGUUGCUGGGAUCUGAAGACACAACUUUCUUAUUACGGUGCUGUUUGCUAUAAGUGUUAAUAUGGUCAAAGGAAGACUACCCACCAAAGACUGUAAGGAACAGUAGCAAAACCUUUUUAUUUUUUACAAACGCUAAUGCUACUUGGGGACCAUUUCAUUCCCCAAGUGUACAUCUGUUUGAGCAAAGGAUUCCCAGAAACAAGCAACAAGAAUAUUGAGACCAUUGCUCAAUAACCACAGCUUUUAUUUGGCAAUAGUUAUUGAGACCUGCAAGGGUUUUCCUGGGCUCAAAACUUGUCUGUUUCUUGUAGCAAUGUUUUCUGUUGGGUCAUAUGGAUUAUUUCAUGUUAUUAGAGCUGAAUACUAGUUGUCUACCAUUUCAGAUUUGCUAGCUUUUUAUCUUGUAGCAAUGUAUUUGUAUGCUGUAAUCUAUAGCAAAAUGCCAUUGUAAUUUUAAUGUCAGGUGUACCCACUGUGAGUCUCAGGUUUGUAUCGCUAUCCAGGGAAUGUGUCUGAGCUCUUUCCUUUUUAAGCCUAGUUGAAGCAGUGCAUCCAGAUGCAUUACUUUCAAAUCUUAUUCUCAAAUGUUUUAGUGGAAAUGAUGUGUGAUCAUUUUAAUCUGGCCUUUAUGUGUUUGACCGGAACUCAGCCUACAUAUUGCCGUGAGACAAGGGAAAUUGGAUGCUUUUACUUUUACAGCCAAAGUAUUCAUAUCCUUCCAGAAAAAAAGAACUAAUCUUCUGAAGCAGCAGGUAAGUAAAAGAUUUGUGGAGAAAUGGGAAAGGACAUUUAAUAUAUUUAAUCUUAUUAUACAUUUUUCUACAUUAAAAGUCAACAGGCUGCAAAUAUAUUUUGCUACAAAGCUUUUUGUAGGAAAUAUCUCUAUAAGAAAAUACAUCUCAUUAAACAUUUCCUGUAAAUAAAUUAUCCCACAUAACUAUGUUUUGUAAGAGGAGAAGGGAGAGGGUUAGGCUAGUGAUAAGAAGAGCCAAAAAUUGCUGAGCCCAUUUCUGCAACCCCACUGCUCCAUUUGGGUUACAUUUUCUUGUACACAUAGUUGAAAUGAAGGCAACAGAGCUCCUCUGUUGAGCAUGUGCUGUCAGUGUAAAUAACACAGACAGUGUUAUUUAAAAGUACAGUUCCUGUACUUUUUUAAUAUCUUGAAAUUAUGCUAUUUCUGAACCUUAUUCCUGUUUUAGGUACACAAGAACUCCUUUGAAAUAACCAAAGUGGAGCUGGUAGGACUGAGUUUGAAGUCUGACUCAGACUGUUAAAAAACAGAAGAGCCCACCCCAGAGCAGUUCCUUAUGGCAAUUAAAAAAUAACUCCAGUAAGGUAAGAGAUAUUGUGAAUUACUCUUAAUUUGCUUUCCUAAGAGUCUAAGGGCAAUGUAUUCUUAUUAGAAAAUCUGAGCCUCAGUGGAUGCAUAAGGUGUAACCUUAAAGCAACCACUGGUAGACAUGUCUCAGUGGAAAAAAGUGAUUUAGGUAUAGGAUGACGUGGUCUCGAAACUACGUAUUGGUGUAUAUAUGUUCAGAACUGAUGAAACAGAAAAGUCUUGUGUGUUACAAAAUGUGAAAAUGAGCAAUUACAAAUGGGUAAUCACAGAUUAGCAGUAGGUCAGUUAUAAAAUCAGACUUCUUAAAAGAAAUAUCAUACUCUUUAUCAACAUCUAUACAAAGGAAUUACUUGUGAACAAGUAAAAUGACAAAAGUUUAAAAAGAACUGUGAGAAAAAAAGGAUAGUCUCCAUGCUUCGACUUCUAACUGCUACACAAACAACAUAGGGUUGUUUCAAUAGUCCAUGUACUUCCAGAAUUCCUGACAGAAAAAUCCAGAGAAGAUCCCUUUAGAAGAGAUCUAGUUCAUAUUAGAUACAUGCCAGAAACUGUUAUGCUGCAUCAUCACAUGAUGCUUAAUAAGUCUUUUGUGGCUGUACCAUAUUUUCUUGCAUUGUUUUCUGCAGGAGAGGAAGUGCUCACAAGAGCCAACUCUUUUCUUCUCUUCGCUACCUCUAAAAAACAAAUCCAUUUACACUUCUGCAGAAUGCAAUCAGAUGUAGCACUAAUAGCAAACUGUAGCCCAUUGCUACUAUUGAAAAGUAAAACUUUUAGUUGAUAGCAGUACAGUCUAAAUUCCCCAACAAGUGCCUACAUCUUCUGUUAUAACAGUAACAGUGGCACAAUUUCAUAUCUCUUAAUGUUAGAUAUUCAGCACUCCGCUGUCUCUUCGGAAAUGUCUAUAAUGCAGGUAUGUUUAGGAAAAGAAAGUAUAUUUAGGUCUAAUGAGCAACUGCCUGUAUAUAAUUCUGGAUUCAGCAUGCAUGUAUUUGUUUCAUCUGCUCAAUCCAAUGUACACUAGCAGUAAACUGAGACAAAUACAAGCGAUUAAGUGCCCUACUAUGACAUUGAACUACAUAAAGCAUUUCAGUUCGCCUAAAUAUAGGAAAGAAAACCCUGUUUAAAUGACUCUGAUUAGAGAAACUGCUUGCUGUCUUGAAAUCAUGAGAUGGCAAAUUUUCACCUUUUUGUGAGGGCCUACAAAAUUUAGGAUUCUUGUAGCAGUCCUGCAAGCAUGCUUUCUUUGCUGAAGUGUCAGCCCUGUAUGACAAGCGUAUGGAGAUUCACAGUAACUGUACUUCUAUCCCUCGCACCUGCAAUGAAUAAUAUUUUAGUCACUGAUAAUGUGUUGACAGACAAGUCUUCCUGGAAUGCGCUGCUUCCUAUAGGAGUACAAUGUAUACAAUUUAUUUAGCAGGCACAGCCAUUGUGGAAAGCCACUGUAGCCCUUAUACUGGCCCCUGAAACAUCAUGGGACAACACAGCAAGGUAAAUGGCAUUAAUUUCCACUGUACUUAUUUGCAUACUAGCAUUUCCCACAGACUGUAGGAGUUAUUAGUGGGAAAUCUCUGGCUGCUCUGGUGUUUUCCACCAGCUCAAAAAGAAAUGCAUUUGAUGUGACUUUUCUCUACUCCUACCUUGUUACUUUAGCCAUUCCUCUUUCACAUGCAGUCCUCAUUUCCCAGCAUGUUGUAACACAUUAAAUACAGAAAACCAGUCACUUAAUACUUAGUACUAUCUACCCUUCAGAUUUUCUGACACACGUGAAGUCUUGAUUUAGAAGAAGAGGUUGCAUCUUUCCAUACUUUACAAGACAGCCCUUUGGCACAGUCACAUCGUUGGAAAAUCUCCAGUCCAUGGGAGCCUUUCUUGCGCUGCUUGGUGCACACCUCCCCCUGAUGCAAUACAGGCUUGCAAAUUUUGGUCCAGAAAUGGCGAGCACAGCAGUGUCCCUCAAUACAGUCUGAUGACCGCAGGCAGGGAUCACCUUCAUGUCCUAAAAAGAGCAAUCAAACUGUUUUUACCUCAGGGGAAAAUAGAAAAAGACAAAUUCAGAGUAGACUGAUGCAAAUGAAGCUCAGAAAAAGGAGAGAUGAUAUUUCCAUCUGUGGCUUUUUGAGGUACAUAAAGAGACAAGAAAAGAGAUGAAUUAGGGAGGUUCAGAAAAGUAACUGAUAAGAACUGUCACAAGACUUAGUAAGGAGAAAUUCAGCUACAGGUUUGUAGACAAAAUGAUAAAUGCAUAAAGACAUUACUCUUACAAGAGGAGGAUGUGGACAAUCUUGUAUAACUGAAAACUGAAAUUUCAAUCCCCUCUGAUGUGGGGAAGAAAGCAGAUGCUAUUCCAAUCGGGGGAAACUGGUGGUCAAUAUUACCUUGCUUUCUGAACUGUGCUCUGAAUUCUCUUAAUAGAGAUUCACAACCUAUGAACUUACUGUGUAUUCCUGGUGUGUGCUGCUGUAUUUUAACAGCAUAAUGUUAUUCAUAGCAGAACGAUGAAGUGCAAAUGUGAUCUUACCUUUAAUGUGCGACAGCUUGGACUGUGCCCUCCCUAAGUUUUGCCAUCCCAGAUCCUUGCUAGUAUAAUGACUGUUCUUCUUGUUGCGUGGCCCGUCUAGUGCAGGGAUGUGAGGCGUGAGGAUGUUUUCAGUUACUGGUACACAAAUACCUGUGAGGAAAAGUCAGUCAGUUAUAGAUUUCAACAAGAGGAGAAGAAGCUGAGGAACAUACUUGGACUAGAAUCAGCACUGAGACCAUUAAAGUGAGGGGGGUGCUGGGCUCAUCUUUGGCGACUCUCAGCUCUAAGCACAGCUCUGUCGCUGAUCCCUAGCCCCUGUCUUCACUACAGCUGCACUUCACUCUAUCACACAGUCUUGCAGUCUGACCACCUGGAGACUGUCUUGGAGACAUCUCUCCAGGUCUCAAGAGAAGAGUAUGGGAAUGCAAGCAGUACAGUUACAACAGAAACACCAAGAGGGAGUAGCUCAGGGAUUCACUGGGUCUAUUUUGCUUCCUUAAGAAUAUGGGCUCUUUGCAGAUUUCCAGAGAAUUGAACAAUGCUGAACGUAGUGUUGGAAAAAUGCUGUGAUUUCAGUCUGUGGCUUCAUCAUUUGGGGGUGUUUCUCCACAACAAAAGAGAAAAAAGUCUAGUAGUACAGAAGCCUCAAUCAUAAAAAUACUAUUAAAGAAAGUGGAGAAAAGUUGUAAAGAUACAUUAAAAAACAAUUACUUGCAGUGCAAGUAAUUAUGCAAGUUAAUGGAGUAGAAGAAAUGAUAACUAUGGCUUCAGGUAUGAGUGUGCUUCAAGGAGAGGAGGGAGGCGAAGAGGCAGGGGAGACUAAACAGCUUCUAGCAUGGCAGAGCUCUUGGAUUUUAGCUCACAAUGUACUGUUGGAGCUGAUUCUCUUUUCCCUCCUCUUCUCUCUUCCCCCCUCUUUCCAAGCCUAGGACUAUCCAGUUCUACAUUAAUAUGACAACCAUGAAUCCAGUCACUCUAAUUUUACUCUCACAUGGCCCAUGUUUCUACUUUGCUAGUUCAGCACCCAGCUUCCCUUGUCCAACAACACAAUGGAUAGAUAGCUUUUAUACAGACUGAUUAGACUGGUUUCUUAUGCAGUUUUGAAAAUCAGAUCUUAGAUUUUUUUUUUUAGAAACAGAAGAAAAAGAUCAUUCAACAACUUUUCUAAGCCAAAGGAAAAGGGGGAGAACAACUGGAGCUGAUGUUAUUUUCAAUAUCUGAAGGGAUUUUAUCUUGGUUUAGAAAAGGAACUGCAGUCACACAGGAAAAAUACCUCUGCUGAGAAAACUUCAAAAUCUAUUUUCAGUAGAUGCUAUCAAAAUGCUGAUUUUUUUGGAGGGAAAACAAGACAUGAAUGACAUACCGUUGUUGCAGCGAUUCCCAGGGCAGCACAUGCCAUCUCUGUGGCACCUUUUCUUCUUCCUCCGGCACAACAUGCACGCAGAAGAUGCUUGAUGAGGACUGUGACAGUACCGCCCAACUUCACAUUCCUUGUCAUUGGUGCAAGGAUAGACCUGGAGGGUAAAUGAAAAAGUUUGCAAUGAUGCAGUGUGUAAGACAUGCACAUAGUCCAUUAAAAACAAAACAAGAAAACAGUUGAAGAAACAUACACGUGAGUUACCGUUCACUAAGCUAGGAGAUGCAGUUAUCUUUGCAGCAGCCUUGGCCUUGGGCUUUAGCUGCUGGUGGAGCUGGAUCACUGCCUCAAGAAUGACAAAACUACAACCCGCUCCUUUGGUGGUUUCAUCUUUUCUUGCCUUAAAUAUAUGCUAUCACAACAGAACUAAUAUUUUUGUAGGUUUCAAGAUACUCAGGCCUCUCAUUCAUAGACAAGAGUUUAAAAUUCUACAAUGAAGAGAAACAGAGCCAGAAGACUCCUCUCAGUCAUGGAAAACACACUCUGCAACAGGUAACAUUUGCAUUUAGGUCAGAACUCCAAGGAGGCAUUUUUCUUUGACACAUGCCAGAUAGAAUAAGAGAUUCACCAUUCUCACAGUGAACACAGAAUCAUAAAGGUUGGUAAAGACCAAUCAUCAACCCAUCACCACCAUGCCGCUAAACCAUGUCCCUCAGUGCCACAUCUCCAUGUUUCUUGUAAACCUUCCAGGGACGGUGACUCCACCACCUCUCUGGGCAGCUUUCUGAGAUGAAAUUUUUCUUAAUAUCUAACCUGGACCUCCCUUGACACAACUUAAAGCCAUUACCAAGCAGUGCAAGGCCAUGAAUUUUGAAGCAGUCCACAUCUUCACCAGACUGGUGCAAGCUUCUUCACAAUUGCACCAUUCCACUCCAACCCAUACCAUUCAGACUUUUUGGAAGCAAACAUCUCUGAUCAGCAUUUAGCUUAGAUGGCCUUUACUUCAUUUAGGUACUUACUAUUCUCCUUAAGCUUGCCAACUGCUGAAUAGCAUCGCUAUGAUAUAUAGCACAGACUAUGUUAUACAACACAAAAUCUCUUGAACGUAUAAUUGCCUAAAAGCACACAGACAUACAAUUCUCCCUUUUUCAUCAAAACCAACAUUAUCCUAUAGAAAAAUCGACUGAUUUCUAAAAAGAAAAUGUGAAGGCACUGUAUUCUCCCAUUAAGAAGAGAAAGAUAAGUUUAUUCCUACAAAAGAAGACAUAAUGCUUUAAAAAGACAUAAUGACACCACCAUUUUCCAGGAUCCCUUUUGCUGAUUCCCACACAGCUUCAACUAUGCUCACUGUCUGCAGCUAAUUUUACUGCCCAUUAAAUUAAUCAUAGAUUUGUUUCCAUUUCUCAAAAUUAUCCUUGAGGAAUUUGUUUAGAUAAAAAGAUGAGAACAAUUUGGGGCAUUUUCUGGAAAAUGAUGUUUACACCUCCUCAACUGAUUUUCUGCAGCAUUUUAAAUGAAUCAAAGUGUUGCUUUUACUGUACUGCAUUUAUUGAUUAAACACAAACAAAAAUCUCAAUUGACUAAUUUUCAAUGUGGAAUGAUUACUUUUAAAAUAUUUUUUAAUCCAGUCUUGAUUAUACUGCUCUCAGAAAAGAAAAACUUGGAUGAUGUUGAGAAUUUGCUAUGAAAAGUGUUCUUUUAGAUGGAGGGUGGCCUGUUUAUCUGUCUUUUUGCUACUCUCUUGAAAAUUGUAGAAGAAACAGGAGGUGAGAUAAAAACACGCUAGUGCCUUUAGCUGGGGAGAACCAUGCCAUUUUCCAUAUGAUUUCAUUAAUUGUAUUCUUUUUCAAAAUUCAUUUUACAUUAACUAAAGAGCUGGCUGGAUAUUUCCAGAGUGCUGCUGCUCCAUUACUUCUGCCCUAUGAAUAUAUGCAUCUUUGAAGAAUGAAUCCAGAGCGCAGCUGUUUGGAGAACUUGACGCAUGUAUAAGGCUUUCUCCCUUAAGAAUAAGUAUUUCCUCUCAAGUUCAUCCUCAUUCAUCAAAGAAGGCCAAAUCUUUUAGCUAGGAGUAGUGAUUAGACACAAAUGCAAGUGCUCACCUUUGUGGUACUCUCAACGUAUAAUUGGAUUUUCCUUGUUCUAGCAAACCAGACCGAGAUAAAGUGCUCUCCCUUCAACCUUAUCGGUCCUUUUCCUCAUUUUUUCCAGCAAGAAAUAAUUAAUCCUAAUGAACAAUUAUGAUAUAGUUAAAUUGGGACCUUACUAAACUAAAUAACAGAAAAUUCAGAAAUUUUUUUUGUGGAUCUGUGCAUGGUUUUACUGAGUUUGGAAAAUACUAACACUGCUAGCAGGGGAAAAUGCAAAUAAAAAACAGAUGAACAAGCUGUAACCUGGAGAUGAAGGCAUUUUAGAUCCUUGUCUGUCAUCAAGACCUUCAUAACCGCAUCUUUUUUCCAAUAUGGGCAUGUGGUAUACACCUGCAACUUGUCAGCAAGAAACCUACUUGCAGUUUUCUUUUGGUUCCUCAAAUAGCUUUUUUAAAAAAGCUGAUCCUAAAUGGUGCUAAUGACUAUCUGGCAUACCGUAUCUACUGUCUGUUUUACUUUUGGCUUUAACUGACAUUUAAAUGAUACACCUAAUUGCUAGAUCUCAACUCAAUCUUUAGGAAUGGUUAGAAGUUACAAAAGAAGUGUUAAAAAUUGCUGAGAUAAGUGACACAACACAGCCUUAAGUCUAACUCCCGAGCCCUGGCCUAAGUAGAGAUGACAUUUCUGAAAUUAAAAAAUAAUCCAAAACAUUUAUCUACCUAAGGGAAAUGACUGCAUCAUACCCACAAAUUGUCUUUUGUUACAUGCAGCUUGGACAACAACUAUCACGUCUAUUCAAAACUUUAAACAACCAGCUGCCAGCCAGCUCCAUGAAAAACCUUCUUGCAAAUUGCCUGAUGCCAUCAAUUGCCUUGAUCUUUCUUCCAAAACCACCAUCUAUUUGAUAUCCUAGUUAUCAGUCACAGGGAGCUUUAAAUAAAAAUGCCUACACAGCCUCGUCUCCUAGUCACUAGACACUCAUUAGAAAUAACUUAUGCCUUUUGAGAUGCAAUUUAUCUAUCUUCACGGUAUUCAGUAAAAUACGAAAACAAAACAAAAUAGAGCAUGUACCUAGUCUUGGCUAACAGCAGGGAAAAUGUGUUCAUAAUUGUCCUGUUGUCAGUAGUAGUUGAGCGUCUUUGUAUAAGUAAGUAUAUAUAUUUUAAAAUACAGCAAGAAGAAAAUAUAUCUGUAGAAAAGCAUAUACUAACAAUUGUCCAUGCACAACUCAAGGUUUUCAGAAACUCCUAUACCUCAGUGCCUAAAACACAGUCUUUAGAUUGAGAGAAUAGCAGAGAACGUUUCCUAUAUAUGAUGCAAAGACCCAAAUCAGUCCCAGAUGGAGAGGGAAAAAGCAAGCUGUAAACCAGCACUACUUCCCCAGCAAUGAUAACUAAUUCUACAAGGCACUUCAUCCUUUCACAUUCUUCAGCUAUUCAUAUCAUUUUCUGGUCGUAAAUCUCUAUCCACUAAACAUGGCUUUGAUAUUAUGGGAAACCAGAUGAAACUGAGAUAAAAUAUGCAGCACUCCCUGAAGCUGCAUUUAAGCAAUCUUAUUUAUUUUUUUUUAGCCCAGAUUACAGGCCAUCAUGUUGCUGAAGCAUGGUAUAACCUACAUUUGCCCGUGAUAUUCACAUUUUCAGAUUGUUUAGUCUGAUGAAGAGCAUUGAAGAAGAUGCUUUCUCCUCAGUCAUUCCAAUUAGUUUUGUAUUCUUGUAUAGAAGAUAAAUACUGAAAUGGUGCUGCUCUUUCUGAGCCAAGAUGUCCACCCUACAUCUAUCAACCAAAGCUAACCUUUGCCAGCUCAACACAAGCAUAGAUGAUAGCGAGGGAUCUCGCUGUGCACAAGCAGAAUGCCGCAGUUAAUUUAUCCCAUGGAGGAAAUCACGCUGUGCUCUCAGACAGCUCCAGACAUGGAUCCGGACUCAGACUGAUCUCACCAGAAACUCUCAACCCCCUGUGACUGCUAUGGCACAUAUUGUUCCUGAAAGUAAAAUUCUGGUUAGUUGCAAUGAAACAGAUUUACUCUGUUCAGUUGCCAUGACGAGCUAAACAAUUCAGUUUUUCUUACCAAGCCUCUUUCUUGUUAAAAAAAUAAACGUCUCUGACCCACUUCUCUGCCAGACCUAGAGAGAGAAAAGCACCAUCUUCUGCUGCUAGAUUAAGCACAGGCACUUUCUUAUAGCAAUAACUUAUUUUUAACUCUUCAGCUUAAAACAACACUGCUGUUUAUGAGGUCUGAUUCACAGAUUGACAUAGUGCUACAUCAUGUAUGUGUAUGCUGCAGCCUCCAAAGAUCAUUCCUUCCAACUGCGUGGCUAAUGGCCCCAGAAGCCUGCAUUAUUAAGACAAUAAAUAUUCAUGUUUGAAAGUAAUACUCAAUCUACUGCUAGACCACCAGGGGAAGAACAUUUCUUAAACAUGCAGUAGUCCAGCUCUCAUGAUUUGCUAGAGCCAAAGAAAACUCAGAUCUUAACAACCCUAAAAACAAACCUCAGUGAGAUCUCUCUGAACAGGCAAGGCUGCAGGAGUCACGUGGGUCCUGACUCAGGCUUUCCUCAAUCCCAUCAAAAUGUCAUGGAAAACAAUCUCCAGUUCUGCAAGCAUGGAAUGAGCUAUAUUUUCAAAUAACUUAAAGGCAAACACACUAUACCCAAAAUAUAUUCAUAUGUAUGUUUUUAUGAUACAGAACAACAUAAAACUACUACCAGGAUAUAGUAUAUCUAUGUAUCAUAGAUCCCAAGGCAGCACAGCUAUGGGUCUUCCUGUUCUAUCACACCUUUAAGACAAAUUAUCGACCUCAGAAUCAUAUUGGUGUCAUUUUACUGAAUCAUCCCAUUUCCAAGAAAACAUAUUGCAUUUCCUCUGCACUGUGCACACUGAAUACAUGUGCUCAAGUUUUCCCUCCCUCUCAUGUUUCAUGACCUUGGGAUUACCUAGCAGUGCUUCCAUCUCAACAUUUGGAGAGACCAGGAGCAUCCUAUGUUGCAAACACAAAUCUUGAUUGGUACCUUACAAAAGACAUGAUUAAAAGAAGGUUCAAAAGUUUGGGAAACAGUCGGUUUGACUCCAAAUUUUAUGGGCAUUGUCACUGCAUGAUUCAUACUGCCUAGCAAACGACCAGCAGUAGUGUUACUGCAGAGAGCAUCAAAACAAUGUUAGGUAAUCUUUCAAGUCAACAAUGUAGUGCUAAAUCAGCGUGACAGAAAAACUCUAGAUCUUGAUUUUAUGUCAUUUUUGAAUUCAUCACAAAAGACUGCUUGAAGAAUAAAGGUUUGUUAGCACACACUUUGUUCUAUGUCCAGCCUUUUCAGCAGACUGUUCUUGGCCUUUUAUCUCUGCCUUUUCCCCACCCCUUUUCUGAUGGUUUUGCUUUUUAGUUUUGUCUCUAAUUGGCUAUUUAUCAUCUGUUUCAGAGUAGGAUUCUUCAGGCUUUUUGAUCAGCAUGUUUACUGCUAUGGAUGAACAGUGGGUUGCCAAAAAGAGCUUUCCCUCUGAAUCUAUUAAUUCCUGAAGUAUGGGUUAUUUUAUCCAGAUAUAUUAUCCAGUUGGAAACAGCUAGCAGAUCCUACACCACAGAAAGCACCAGGUAUUAAGCCACACGUAGAUAUUCAGAUAUUGCAGUUGGGAGUAGAAUAACUUUGCUGGGAACUGGCAGCAAGUUGCUGUUUGAACACCUGGGUCUGAAUGUCCCCAGGUUAUGAUGAUGCACUUUCAAGGUGGAGCUUUUAUUGGGAACCAUCUCUGUGCAAGCAUACAUUCAGCAAGAAAGAUGAGAUGACAGCUUUACCUUCUAUAGUACUGCUACCGAGGAAACGAACUUCCUUUGCUUUUAAAUUUUCACAAAGUCUAGAAAAAGGGGGAAACCCUGUCAUAUUGAAGUCAGUGCAAAAAUUCUAUUUGUCUGCUCUGAAGUCUGGAGACAAAAUGCUUCCAAGUUAGGAACAUUUGUGCAAUGUCUGCAGUCCUCAUCCUGGAAAUUAUUCAUAGGUAUUCCUUGCAGAAUACACUUUACACUGCAGAAUGCACAGCAUUUAAGAUACCAGUUUUCAAAAUGCAGUUUCUCUAGUCCUCCUAUUCAUAAGGACAGCUCUAAAGAAAACAUAAGUUCAUGUCAGCUGGAGAGACAGCCAGAUGCUGAAUGUCUGAGAGGGAUGAACCGCAGUCUCCACUCAGCAGACUUCUGACUGCAAUCUGACAUUGAUACUGAAUGUCAGCAUUAUUAAUCCUCUCCCUGAUGGUCGUUUAUGUGGGAACACCUGGCUCAUAUGCUUCUCUUUCUAUCCCCAGUUCUUUCUCUACACAUCAAAAACCACCACUGUCAUCUGAGAUUCAAAACACCCCUGUCCUGUCUCUUCCUAUUCUACAUGAAACCCUCUGCACCGUGAUAGUUGUUACCACUCUUUGGGGGGGGAGGAGUAAAAUGAGAGGGACCAAGUCCUGAAUCUUCAACUCCAAAGCACUUACAAAGAUAGAAAAUCAGGCAUCAAAAUGAGCUAGCCCAGCUUUAAUAUCAGAACUGACUAUGCACUGGUUCCCACUCUCCUCAUUGCAACUGCAGGAAAACUCACACUAUGAGAGCCACAGCUCCUCACCCUGGCCUGCUGCAGCAACAGUUAUGCAUGUACAAGGGGCCAGCAGUGCCCAUGCACAGUGGGACCACCUGCAAUGGAGCAGCUGUCCUGGGGAAGGUCUUGGACACAGACCCACGCGGCUCAGGCAACCUCUGUCUGUAGUUAGACAUGCACUACUGCCUGUUUGACUGACUCCUCAGCUACAGUAAAAGCAAAAAUUGUAAUAUGGGGCUAUUAAGGCAAAUUAUCACACUCUACUCAAAGGAGGACAAAGACAGCAGAAAAGGAAAGGACCCUGACAGACAGUGACAUUAAAAAGUCAUCGUGCUCUUAUUGUAUGAUUAACUUAGACUUCAGCCUGUGGUAAAAAGCUUAGCAAUCAAGGUUUCAACACUAUUUACCAUUUUUUUCCUUUUCUUUUAAAAUGUUCCUAGCUAAUUUUGCACAAACAAGAAAACAUGAACAACACAGCAAGGCAAGAAUAACUUGUGAGUAAAACCAGAUGAACACUAACAUAUUUACAUAGUGUAAUGACUUCACUAUUAAUUCAAACAAACCCAGGCCCCAAUUCUCAGAAGACUGAGCUGAGCACAUGUGGUCCAGGAGACAAGAACAGGGUGGCUCAGACUGCACUGAUGUCGGCAGCCCCUGAGCAAGUAGGGGCUGCUCAAAGUUUCAGUCUACAAUAGCCACUGAGGGACCAUCUUUCAUUCCAGACAUCAUACUCUGCCUACACCCUCUUCUUGCUCAUGAAUUAACUAUAUAUAGAUCAGAUCUGGUCCCCAUCCUCAGAAUAAGCUGAUUCUGCAGCUAAGAAUUCUAUUUAUCCUUCUCCCUGCUACAUUUUACUGUAUCUUCUGAAAAUACAUCUUUUAAAGCACACUCUUCUGGUCUGAAAAUAAUAUUCUUUAUGUGGAGCUAUGGAAUCUCUUCCUUGUUCCUAGAUGUCUUGGAAGUUAAUCAACAUAAAGCCAUUAAAAAGCUUAAUCCCCUAUGCUUGGCACAACAUCAGUCUGAGAAUGGUUUCUUUGUAACAGCCUUUGGAAUAAAUAUCCAUUCAAGAUUUGUUUUUUCCUUAUACUGGUCACCCGCACUUUACAGUGGGUGGCCCUUUCAUUUAUCCCCAUUACUGUACUUCCACUUCUGAAGCUAAGCCAGACACAGCAACCUGAUACUACUUUUUUGUUCAUGCAACUCCAUUGUAAUGAAAAGUUCCACAUAUAACUGAUAUUUGUUGGGAAAGCCAAAGAAACAGGAACCAUGGUAAAAUUGCACCACCUUCUUGACAACUUUAAUUCUGAAAGAGUUGGGUUCUCCAGGAGAACACUUUGUUGGCAAGCAUGUUUUCACAUUUAGAUGCCUCGGAAUACAAACACAGUCAGUCCAUUCCUGAACACCUCUGGUUGGUAGUAUUUGCAUGACAGCC
rnacentral:lncRNA from 1 species